rnacentral:rRNA from 1 species
UACGUAGGUGGCAAGCGUUGUCCGGAUUUAUUGGGUUUAAAGGGUGCGUAGGCGGCCCUGUAAGUCAGUGCUGAAAUAUCCCGGCUUAACCGGGAGGGUGGCAUUGAUACUGUAGGGCUUGAGUAAAGUUGAGGUUGGCGGAAUUGACGGUGUAGCGGUGAAAUGCUUAGAUAUCGUCAAGAACACCGAUAGUGAAGACAGCUAACUAAGCUUUAACUGACGCUGAGGCACGAAAGUGUGGGGAUCAAACAGG